CUUGAAAGCAGCUCCCCGGUGUAUUAAAUAAGCAGGCGAACAACGGACGGAAAAACACAGCCUUCAGAUAUAACCUCUUCAUACGUCUGUUACAUUCACCCCCCAACCUCCCCGCUUUCUGCCCUCUCAUUGUCAAACGAAGAUGCCAAGAGGGGAUAGGGGCCGGCUGUUCACUGUGGUCAAGUGGUCUAAUUGCAGGUAGGAGCUGGCAACGACAGAGGUGUGUCCUGUCAGAUUGGCGAGCGCAGGAUUCUGGCCCUCCUGCGGUGUUUGUGAUCCGGCUCACGUUAAUAGAUCCCAAAUAGCUUCCAGAUAGCAAACCAAUGCCGUUCACUUAAGCGGCAUGAAAGGUCAGGAGGACGCAUACGAGUCACUCUUCAACCGGAGUCGGACGCAGGCUUUGUGUGCUUGAAAGCCUUCGAUUGCCCACAAACACAAGUCAAACCGCAAAUAUGAAAUGCAUUGUAUCGAGAAUUAUGAGAGCUGUCUAAUGUACAAAGCCAUGUGAAACUUGGACGCAGAAAGAUGGAGAGCAGUGACUUUAUCCUGGAGAACAGAGGCGCAGUAGCAAGCAUCACAGAGCUGUGGCUAUCUGCAGGCCCAGAUGGAGUGUCAAACUCUCAAGAACUGCUAGACAUAAAAAUCCAGACUCUCUUCAUUCAUGUUUAACGAUUGCCUAAGGAUACACAGGAAGGACAAACGCAACGAUGCCACGGCAACGAAACACUUGAACAUACGGUCGGAAUAACUGCGGCGCACUCCCGUGGGUGCCGAGAUCGUAUGCUUCCUGACGAGUGGUUUCAGGUCAGUCAGUGAUGCAUGUGGUGCUGGGAAACUUGUCUUGGAAGCACUGAAGCAUUGUUUCCCUUGGCAGCCAUGACUUGCAGAUCAUCAUGCUAUUCCACUGUGUCAAUCCAGUAGGAAAGCACACUGCUCACUAUUCCCUGAGACACGCACAGUUUUCGGCAAGACGCCCCUGUUGAAGAUUCAGCUUCAGCUUCAUCAAGGUUAAUUGACAAUUUUCCUUCCGUCUGUCCCCUCUUCCUUCCUCUCUUUAUCUAUCCAUCCGUACCUUAGUGUUCCUCUGGAGACGGGCACCUGAAAACGACUUCUGGCAGCAGGAACCGCUCGCAUUCUGGUGGGCAAAUGAGAAAUACAGUGCCAUGAUUUAAGACGGAGAGGUGUCGGGAACACGAGAGGCCAG
ensembl:lncRNA